UUUACACAUGCAAGUCGAACGGCAGCAUGGGCUUCGGCCUGAUGGCGAGUGGCGAACGGGUGAGUAAUGCAUCGGAACGCGUCCUGUAAUGGGGGAUAACCUACCGAAAGGUAGGCUAAUACCGCAUACGUCCUGUGGGAGAAAGCGGGGGAUCGUAAGACCUCGUGUUAUAGGAGCGGCCGAUGUCGGAUUAGCUAGUUGGUGGGGUAAAGGCCUACCAAGGCGACGAUCCGUAGCUGGUCUGAGAGGACGACCAGCCACACUGGGACUGAGACACGGCCCAGACUCCUACGGGAGGCAGCAGUGGGGAAUUUUGGACAAUGGGGGCAACCCUGAUCCAGCCAUGCCGCGUGAGUGAAGAAGGCCUUCGGGUUGUAAAGCUCUUUCGGCCGGGAAGAAAUCGCGCCAGCUAAUAUCUGGUGUGGAUGACGGUACCGGAAGAAGAAGCACCGGCUAACUACGUGCCAGCAGCCGCGGUAAUACGUAGGGUGCGAGCGUUAAUCGGAAUUACUGGGCGUAAAGCGUGCGCAGGCGGUUUUGUAAGACAGGUGUGAAAUCCCCGGGCUUAACCUGGGAACUGCGCUUGUGACUGCAAGACUUGAGUGCGGCAGAGGGGGGUGGAAUUCCACG
rnacentral:rRNA from 1 species